UUUAGUCCCAACAGUUUCGGAAUAAGGGGCCAAAAACAGGUCCCAAAUAAGCAUUUUUCUUGGUUUUUGCACAAUAACUUUAGUAUAAGUUAAUAGAAAUCUAUGAAAUUUUAACACAAGGUUUAUGACCACAAAAAGAAGGUUUGAAUUGAUUUUGGGAGUUUUGGUCCCAACGAAUUAGGGGCCAAAAGGGUCCAAAAUUAAACUUUGUUUGAUUUCAUCAAAAAAUGAAUUAUUGUGGUUCUUUGAUAUGCCAA
rnacentral:lncRNA from 1 species